AGAUGGGGUUUAUAUAGAAGAGAAAAUUAGGGUUUUGAUUAGGGGGGUAAGACGAGGGAUUUCCAAAAUAUUCGGCCCAUUUGGAAUUCAAAUUCCAAACCUUAUCCAAAUACGGACGACUCGAACGGAAAAGGCGAGGUGGAGGGUGGAGAUCGAUCCCUCGUCCUUGGCAAACGACGUGGCUCAAUCCCACGACACCAACGAUGAAUCUCGCGUCGUCUUGUGCUGCAGAGUCGUACAAGCGAGGGAGAUGCUGCGAGAGAACGACAAGAGACAGUUGUGCUAUCGGGUUCGGU
rnacentral:misc_RNA from 1 species